rnacentral:rRNA from 1 species
GGGCCGAACCACCAUAGUUGAAAAUAGUGGGGAUGACUUGAGGAUGGGAGUGAAAGGCUAAUCAAACUGGGAGAUAGCUGGUUCUCCGCGAAAUAUAUUGAGGUAUAGCCUCGGACGAAUUGCACCGGAGGUAGAGCACUGAUUGGGCUAGGGGUCUUACCAGAUUACCAAACCCACUCAAACUCCGAAUGCCGGUGACAACUAUCCGGGAGACAGGCUGCGAGUGAUAAGAUCCGUAGCCAAAAGGGAAAGAGCCCAGAUCGACAGCUAAGGUCCCAAAAUCCAGGCUAAGUGUGGAAGGAUGUGGGAGCGCUCAGACAGCCAGGAGGUUGGCUUAGAAGCAGCCACCCUUUAAAGAAAGCGUAAUAGCUCACUGGUCGAGCGAGCCUGCGCCGAAAAUGUAACGGGGCUAAAGUCUGGUACCGAAGCUUCGGGUUCUCGUAAGAG